rnacentral:rRNA from 1 species
UACGGGGGGGGCAAGCGUUGUUCGGAAUUACUGGGCGUAAAGGGCUCGUAGGUGGCCAACUAAGUCAGACGUGAAAUCCCUCGGCUUAACCGGGGAACUGCGUCUGAUACUGGAUGGCUUGAGUUCGGGAGAGGGAUGCGGAAUUCCAGGUGUAGCGGUGAAAUGCGUAGAUAUCUGAAGGAACAUCAGUGGCGAAAGCGACUUCCUGGACCAAUACUGACGCUCAUGUGCGAAAGCGUGGGGAGCAAACAGG